AACGAACGCUGGCGGCGCGCUUAACACAUGCAAGUCGAACGAGAAGGCGUAGCAAUACGCUUGUACAGUGGCGAACGGGUGAGUAAUACGUGGGCGACCUACCCUCGAGUGGGGAAGUAACCCGCCCGAAAGGCGGGCUAAUGCCGCGUACGCUUCCAUCUUUAUGGAGGUGGAAGGAAAGCCGUGCCGUGGGCACGGCGCUCAAGGAUGGGCUCACGUCCUAUCAGCUUGUUGGUAGGGAACGGCCUACCAAGGCUCCGACGGGUAGCUGGUCUGAGAGGACGAUCAGCCACACUGGCACUGCGACACGGGCCAGACUCCUACGGGAGGCAGCAGUGAGGAAUAUUGCGCAAUGGGCGAAAGCCUGACGCAGCGA
rnacentral:rRNA from 1 species